rnacentral:rRNA from 1 species
UACGGAAGGGGCAAGCGUUGUUCGGAAUCAUUGGGCGUAAAGGGCGUGUAGGUGGUUCUGUAUGUCCACCGUGAAAGCGUACGGCUCAACCGUAUUUAGUCGGUGGAAACUGCAGGACUUGAGGCUGGGAGGGGCUGGUGGAAUUCCCCGUGUAGCGGUGAAAUGCGUAGAGAUGGGGGAGAACACUCGUGGCGAAGGCGGCCAGCUAGACCAGUUCUGACACUGAGGCGCGACAGCGUGGGGAGCAAACAGG